rnacentral:rRNA from 1 species
AUCAAGGCUGAGGCGUGAUGACGAGGCACUACGGUGCUGAAGCAACAAAUGCCCUGCUUCCAGGAAAAGCCUCUAAGCAUCAGGUAACAUCAAAUCGUACCCCAAACCGACACAGGUGGUCAGGUAGAGAAUACCAAGGCGCUUGAGAGAACUCGGGUGAAGGAACUAGGCAAAAUGGUGCCGUAACUUCGGGAGAAGGCACGCUGAUAUGU